CGCGGGGGGGUCGGCCGCGUGUAGUGUAACUACAAGGGCCGGGCGUGGGCAGGAGAAGCCGGACGGGUUUACAUAAAAGAAAUAAACCCCGGCGGAUGCUCUAUGGCCCGCGCGGUGCUUUGAGACAGACUCACGGCCGGCGAUGUUUGAGUCCAAUGGGUGAGGUGGGGCACCGCCCUACAACCCAAUUCAGACUACUCUCCCCCGGA
rnacentral:RNase_P_RNA from 1 species